rnacentral:rRNA from 1 species
CAGCCGCCGCGGGAAUACGUAGGGUGCGAGCGUUAAUCGGAUUUACUGGGCGUAAAGCGUGCGUAGGCGGCUUCUUAAGUCGGAUGUGAAAUCCCUGAGCUUAACUUAGGAAUUGCAUUCGAUACUGGGAAGCUAGAGUAUGGGAGAGGAUGGUAGAAUUCCAGGUGUAGCGGUGAAAUGCGUAGAGAUCUGGAGGAAUACCGAUGGCGAAGGCAGCCAUCUGGCCUAAUACUGACGCUGAGGUACGAAAGCAUGGGGAGCAAACAGGAUUAGAUACCCCUGUAGUCCCUGUCUCUUAUAC